CAAAUCUCUCAAACAAUUGGAAAAGGGAGAUUUUUACCUCUAUUCAAGUCCUUUAAAAAGAGCAACAACAGGGCUUCCCAUGCACUUUAAACCUUAUUAUGAUAAAAAUGGAGGGGGGGGGGGGUUACCCUCAAUUCCAACCCCCAAUACAACAACAAUAUAUUUCCCUUCUAUUUAAAAUAGAACACAGGGAUUCCCUGUCAACUGAUACCCUUAACACCCUGGAAAAGGCAAGUUUUCCUUCAAUCAAUACCCUUAAGAUCCCGUGAGUGGGGAUACCCCCCAGUUUAAACACACAAUACCAGAAGAGGAGUUUCUUCCCUCAAUGUAAACUCCUUUUGUCCUCAUAAGCCCCCAUUUUUUUCUGGGGCCACUGGGGAGGGAAUGGCAAGAUAAAAUUGAAAAGGGAAAGGGGGAAAGUCCCGCCAACAAACCCACACUGGCUCACCGGCUGUUGCCCCGUCUAGCACAAAGGUUUGCCCCCCAGCACCUCCUUCAAACAAUGCCCCACACCCAAGUGCAAUCAGUUGCUCCCCCAGACCCAAUGAGAGGCUCUCACCAUCACUCCAUGAGACAUGCCUGGGAGCCCACCAUAAGCCUCUCUCUUCCAGCAGCUCCAUGCCAAAGUGAGCAAAGUGAGCUGAGGCAAUCCGCUCUUAAAGCAGCCUCGGGAGGAGCUGCCCUCUCAUCAGCAUCACUGCUGGAGCUGCUCUGAGUCCUCGUCAUACUCACAGCUCUCACUGUGGCUGCUGCCGCUCUGAGUGUGAGGGCAGGGGCGACUUGCUGCUCAUUCCCUGGACAGUUCACUGUCAGCACUUGACACACCGGGGCACCAGACUUUCCUUGCUAUGGAUAAUUUACUUUUAUGUUUUGUAUUUAUGAUUUCACUUUUUACUUUAUUUUUAAAAACUUUAAAUUUUUAUUUAGAUUUAUGUUUUAUUUUUAUGGUUGGGGUUGUUUUGUAUUUUUUAAUGUUUCCUUUGUAAUUUUUCCUUCGUAAUUUUUUCCUUUCUAAUUUUUACCUUUUUAAUCUUUUUAUUUGUAAUUUUUUCCCGGCACCCAUUUCUGCACGAAUGCCUCGGUGUAUCCCAACGCCAUUUGCGGCACCGAUGCCUCGAUGUAUCCCAGCAGUCUUUGCGGCACGAAUGCCUCGGUGUAUCCCAGCAGCCUUUGCGGCAUAAUUGCCCCGGUACAUCCCGGCAGGCUUUUCGGCAUAUAUGCCUCGGUGUAUCCUAGCAGCCUUUUCUGCACAAAUGCCUCGGUGUAUCCCAGCAAUUUUUGCGGCACGAAUGCCUCGGUAUAUCCGAGGUCGCCGCGGACUCGGGGUGGAAGGGUUCCGAGCUCCCCGGAGAGUGCGGAUGGCGAGGGCCGGGCCUGGCUGGACACAGUCCCGGGGGAGUCGGGGGUUCCCGGCGCUGGGGACAAGCCCGGCAAAGGGCCCGGAGCGCUCGUGUGGCCCGUGAGCCCCUGGAGCACUUAUCUGGGGUGGGCUGUACAAGCCGCGUAUGGCCUAAGGGAGAGGGAUUUCUCACAAGGACAUACAGUGAUGGACAAGGGAGGCAGCUUUAGAUUAAAUGUCGUGAAGAAAUUUUUCCCUGCGAGGGUGGUGAGGCCGUGGCACAGGUUCCCCAGAGAAGCUGUGGCUGCCCCUGUGUCCCUGGAAGUGCCCAAGGCCAGGUUGGACGGCGCUUGGAACACCCUGGGAUAGUGGAAGCUGUCCCUGCCCAGGGCCGGGGGUGGAAUGGGUAUGGUAGAAACCCUACUCUGCUCUGGCUGCUCCAGGACCCUUGGCAGAAGAUACAGGCACGCCUCAAGGCAUCUCGACUGCAAGAGGGAUUUGUUCUGUGUCCGUACUGACUCUGUUGAAAGAAUCCACGGCUGUCUGUCAGGGUUCUAAAGGAGUGCUGUGUUUGGAUUUUUGGCUUCAGAGUGGGAAGUGCAUGAUGUAACCUGUGGCAUCUCAGCUGUAGGCCAGGAACCCUGGAAAAGCAAGCUCGCAUUCACGAGGAGCUGCUUCCUCUUGAAAGUCCAGCUGUCUUGCAAGAGGUGCCGCACAGGGUAGGAAGAGUUGGGAGCGAACAGUCUGAGGAAGUGGACUGUGGAAGCUGAAGGUUGUCCAGCCAAAGCUGAGUGUGUGGCUCUGACACUGACCAAGGCUGGAAAGAGUUACUGUGUGGACAGAGAAUGUUAGAGCCGGGUGAGCUUUCACAGGAUGAAAGGAGCGAGGAGAGAAUCGAAUGGAAAGAAUUGCUGAGAUCAGGUUUGAGCCCUUUCUUUGGGUUUGGGAUUUGUUUGUGGUUUUUUUGUUACCUAACACUACCUAGCACUUACUUACUUACUUACUGUGAGAUUUGAAGUUUUCUCCAAAAACUCAGAAUGAAUUUCCCCACUCUGCCCCACUGGUAGCAGCACACAGGAGAACAGAGCCUGUGGUUUGGAUCUUGAGGGAGUUCCAGCAGUGCAAGCUAUGAGUUACCAUGUUUCUCCCAAAUUUACAUCCAGCAAAUCUGAGGAAUUACCUCUUGCCUGAGCAUUCCUGGUCUCUGUGACUCUUUAGUAAGAGACAGCUGGGACUGGCCAAGCUGAGACAGGAUCUGUUCCUGUCAAACCAUCUAUUUCCCAUGCAGAUGAGAAUCUGGGAGGCAAGUGCCCACAUCAAUACUCACAAAUGCCCACACAUACUUCUGGGGCUGCUGUAUGUAUCUGCUGGAUUUGUCAGCGCCAGCAUUUGCGAAGGAUCACCUUGUGAGCAACUCAAAAGACAGAUAAAUAGAGGCAGCAGCAAUUGUCUUGAGUUUACCUUAUGGUAAGGCUUAUGGAUAUUUUUAAUCACUAUAAGAAGGCUUAUGGAUAUUUUUGAUCACUUUCUUAGCACUUGCAAUUACCCCUGCUACCACACAAAAGAAACUGAGGAACAGGAAAGCUCCGCUCUGUAUCUCUGGCAGAAGAAAAGCCAGCAAACCAGUUUGCGUUCACCCUGAUUCCUAGUCCUGUGCUGCAAGUACAGAAAUAUCUUGAGCCUUUGGGAGGGGGACUGGAACUGUGGAACCCAGCUGCAUGUGUCUCCUAGGCCACGUUUUUCGUGGAAGCACCUUUCCUAGUUUCACUGCUUUUUGGAAAUGAACUGUUCUGAGCAGAACCAGUACCUUCAGACUCAGGGUCUGAAAACAAAACAAAACAACCAUAAAAACCACUAAAAAGCCCCAAAACCCAUUGCCUAAAAGAACAAAGAAAGAGAAAAUAUACCGGGAUUAUUUUAAUAAACCUGAAUUUGUGGGAGGCACUGGGUUUGUUUUCCCUUCGUGCAGCAGCACGAAGUUUGCACCCAUUUUGCUGCCGCUUUGGCUCUCAAGAACUGGAAAUGCCUGGAUUUCUGCGUGUUUUCCCCAGGUUCUCCUAUUUAGCAGGAGCUGCACGGUGAGGUCGGUGUUCUCAGGGAGGCCCUGGCACAGCUGCCAAAGGCCGGGAACGUGGAGUGUGCAGGGAGCAUCCGGGGGGCUUCUCCCCCCUGAGUUUCUCCCGGGGUGUGCUGCCUGCACUGCUGGAUGUUGGACCCGGCUUUGGGCCGUUCUCCUGCGGUCCCAGCUCUGAGUGCUGCCCCUGUGGCCAGACCUUGCCGUGUGCCGGCACCAAACCCGGGCAGCGCAGCCGGGGCUGCUUUUCCAGCCCUUUGGUGCCAUGGGCGGUCCCCGAUUGCCGGAGCUCCCCAGCGCCCAGCCUGGACUCGCUCUGUGGGGAGGCCUGUUCCAUCUGCCUCAACCGAGGACAUCCUGCCCAGGUUUGACACUUGACUCCCGUUGUUUUUCCUCUUGCAGGCAGCUGGCAAAAGAGGAGAGAGCCCCUGCGAGGCAGAGCCCCUGGAAUGCCCUGUCCCGGUCUGAGGUUCCCACUUUUCUCUCCAACUCCCGGAGAAUUGCUUGAGCAGAACCAGAGAGUGUCCAUUUUAUUUCCUGCCUUUUCCAAUAAACGGUGACUUUCAGCUGGAGUGUGUUCCUGGUGUCAUCCUCCUCCUCCUCCUCCCUGGAUUUGUAAAUAAAUGUCCUGAUUUUGGCCAAGUGGAAUUUUGUUGUUCCAGGCAUUGUGGCUCUUUUGUUUCAUUGAAACUUCCCAACUCUGCUGAGAGUUUGAGAUGUCAAAUACAAGUAAGACUGGAGUUUCUUGGGAUUGUUACUCACACAAAAUAGGGAUCCUUCUUGGACAGGAGUAACUUGACGUGUUUAAUGCCGCUUCCCUUUAAAAUCAGAGCAGGGGAAGCAGAUUUGAAAUCAUCAUUCCAUGAACUUGCACCAAAUUCCUCCAAAGCUGCAAAAGUUUUCCUUGUUAGAAAUUCCUGAGCUUGUUUUCCAGGCAAGCUGGGAUUUAGAUGUUCUUUGUUCCUUGGAUUUGCUGGUUUUCCUCUCUCUCAUUUUAGUAAAGGAUUUUUUUUUUUUUCAUAUUUUCCAUGCUGAUUGGAAUUUUUGUACUGCUCAGGGCACAUUGCCAAGGAAAUGUACCAAUUUCAUGUUGGUAAAUCAGGCAUUGUUCAGCACCAUAUGCCCACAAGUCUGUAAAUUCCCAGGGAAACUUGCUAAGUGUUGAAUUGCCAUAAUGAAUCUCUUUGUAAAGUUGAUUAUACUUUUUUAUUUUUAAUUACUUUGAAUUUUUUAUGUAGGGUUUUUUUUUAAUAAGUGAGGUCUUUUUGUAUUUUUAAAUUUUUUCUUUCAAAAAUUUUCUAUUUUAAUUUUUCCUUUGUAAUUUUUCCUUUGUAAUUUUUCCUUUGUAAUUUUCCUAUUUUAUUUUUUUCCUUUUUAUUUUUUCCUUUUUAUUUUUUUCCUUUUUAUUUUUUCCUCUUUUUUUCUCUC